UCCCUGGUGGCUCAGACAAUAAAGCGUUUACCUGAAAUGUAGGAGACUCAGGUUCGAACCCUGGUUUGGGAA
rnacentral:tRNA from 1 species